rnacentral:lncRNA from 1 species
AGGGACAUGCCAGAGAUGAUGAUGCUCCACAGCACCAGAGUUCAAGCAAAACAGAAUGAUUGAUAUUUUUAUGUCACAUUCCUAAAGUGAGAAACUGAUUGGUCCAAUUGGUCUAUGGUAACACACAGUAUCAUGAACAUGGACAUAGAGUCUGUCACCCUGCCCACUGUGGCUUCAGGAGUAACAGAAAGAGCGUGAGUGGUGGAUUACAAAUAUACUU